GCGGGUGUGGCGGAAUUGGUAGACGCAAGGGACUUAAAAUCCCUCGAUUAUUGCAAUCAUGCCGGUUCAAGUCCGGCCACCCGCA
rnacentral:tRNA from 1 species